rnacentral:ncRNA from 1 species
CAGUGUUGGUUUUAGUUAGUCGAGACUGUAGCAACUCGCUGCAUAAAACUGUUAUUGCGCUGAAGUUUGGUUUUGCUUACAAUUUAGCAAUCUUUGUUUGUAUUGUAGAUUGCUGUAUUUUUAGUCGAUUAAAUGUUUAUAAAACCCAAACUCGAUCGGGGCUGCCCAGAGCGGGUGCCAGGCCCAUUCGGAGCCGGCGGCGAUCGGCGGUGUUUCUUUUCGGCCCGAGAGUCGGGUUGCUUGGGAACGCAGCCCAAAGCGGGUGGUAAGCUCCAUCCAAGGCUAAAUACGGGGACGAGUCCGAUAGCCGACAAGUACCGCGAGGGAAAGUUG